rnacentral:sRNA from 1 species
UCAACGCCAAGACUACCUACACUAAAGAA